rnacentral:rRNA from 1 species
UAGGGAAUCUUCCGCAAUGGACGCAAGUCUGUCGGAGCAACGCCGCGUGAGUGAAGAAGGAUUUCGGUUCGUAAAACUCUGUUGUUAGAGAAGAACAGCGCAUAGAGUAACUGUUAUGCGUGUGACGGUAUCUAACCAGAAAGCCACGGCUAACUACGUGCCAGCAGCCGCGGUAAUACGUAGGUGGCAAGCGUUGUCCGGAUUUAUUGGGCGUAAAGCGAGCGCAGGCGGUCAAUUAAGUCUGAUGUGAAAGCCCACGGCUCAACCGUGGAGGGUCAUUGGAAACUGGAAAACUGGAGUGCAGAAGAGGAGAGUGGAAUUCCAUGUGUAGCGGUGAAAUGCGCAGAGAUAUGGAGGAACACCAGUGGCGAAGGCGACUUUCUGGUCUGUAACUGACGCUGAUGUGCGAAAGCGUGGGGAUCAAACAGG